rnacentral:sRNA from 1 species
AAGGAAAAGGGCUCCUAGAUGGAAACACAGGCUUGCUACUGAUUAACAUGCCUCGCCGAGGCCGUGGGCCCUGCGGGGGGUGUGCAGCCUGCUGAGGUCCUAAAUCACGAGGCUUCCGAUCACUCCUUUGUCUGGGAAGCCCUGGAUGGGGUGGGGCCUCCCUUAGGUCGCCUCAGCCAGUCCACUCCCCUCCGUACCCCUUCCUGGGGGCAAGCCCCAAGUCUAUCAGCCUCCCUGGCAUCAGGUUGGGGCCCAGAGACCCCUGGAGGCAGUCGGUGGGGGUCUGUGGCAGCCCUGCUGGGGCUUGGAGCUCCUCAAACAGUUGAGGAAGCUGCUGUGUGUGGGCCCCACCAGGCCUGCAGGGACCAAAGCCCAACCCCCUUUCCCAUGGGUGACUUGGGACCAGAACCCUGGGUACCUCCUGGGGGUGAAGGACUCCUGUGUCCUUAGCCCAGCACCCUGUCUGCCCCACUCACGCCCACUCUGCCUGGGCCCCCCAGCUCCUGGACACACACUGUCCAUGCCUGCCCUCCUCUUUUGUGGGUGUCACUGACCCCCGCAUGGAGGAGCAGCAGGGCUGGGGUCAGGCUGAGCUUCGGGGCUGCCGCCAGGCGGGGGAAGCUUGCACGGUCAGAGGUGGGGCUGGCAGCCUGUGGUCUUGCUGGAGGGGGCAUCAGCCACGCUGGCUGCCCUGAGGACUGUGACGUGUGGGCAGAGGGGGCCUCUGCAGCCCAGCUGUGGCUCCUGCUGGGGCAUCUUCCCACCAUGAAGACAGGCACCCAGCGAGGCACCUGCCAGACACUCAGAGGCCCCUGGAUGGAGGUGUCCUGAAGGCAGCUAACAGGGGCUGGGGCCUCAGGAACAGGGACUUGUGCCCACUUGGGGGUGUCUGGGUUGCCCCAGGGAUGGGGGCAGGGGAAGGGAGCCCAGGCCAGCCCAGGGCCCCACACUCAGGGGCUGAGCAGGACAUAACAGCCACAGUCCCUGGACCUGGGGCCAAGGGUUCUGAGGUGGGGGCGGCGUUCUGGGCUCUCUGGGAGUGGGGGCCUGGCAGAGGUUUCUUGGCAGCACCAGGUAUCCAUGAGGUACGUGGCCCUGGCCCGCUAUGGGGCGGAGGCCUGGGGCCUUUCGGGUCCCCGUCUGAGCCUGCCCCCUCCACAGUUCUUCCUGCUGCUGCUGCUGGUGUUCCUGCUGGAGGCCACCAUCGCCAUCCUCUUCUUCGCCUACACGGACAAGAUUGACAGGUAUGCCCAGCGAGACCUGAAGAAAGGCUUGCACCUGUACGGCACGCAGGGCAACGUGGGCCUCACCAACGCCUGGAGCAUCAUCCAGACCGACGUGAGGCGUGGGCAGGUGGGCGGGGUCGGCGGGUGCCCCCUCCCCUCCUGCCUCAGCCCGACCUGAGCUUGCCCCCCAGUUCCGCUGCUGUGGCGUCUCCAACUACACUGACUGGUUCGAGGUGUACAACGCCACGCGGGUACCUGACUCCUGCUGCUUGGAGUUCAGUGAGAGCUGUGGGCUGCACGCCCCCGGCACCUGGUGGAAGGCGCCGUGCUACGAGACGGUGAAGGUGUGGCUUCAGGAGAACCUGCUGGCUGUGGGCAUCUUUGGGCUGUGCACGGCGCUGGUGCAGAUCCUGGGCCUGACCUUCGCCAUGACCAUGUACUGCCAAGUGGUCAAAGCAGACACCUACUGCGCGUAGGCCGCCCACCGCCCGCUUCUCUGCCAAAAGGACGCCCACGGGGAGAUGGCCGCACCCACAGCUGCCUUUCCCACCACCAGCCUCGGUGCUCUGCCCCAUGCUGGGAGGAGGGAGGGAGGGACAGGUGCCUGGAGCCCCCGGAACCCUGUUUCUGGAAGGCCCUGGCUCAGGUGGCUUCAGGGCCUCCGGACCCCCCCCCCCGGGAGGGGUGGCCACGUGCUCGCUGCGGAACCCAGGGCAGGGGUGGGAGGGGCCUCCAGCACUUUUUAUAUUUACGUAUUCUCCAAAGCAGUGUUCACACGGGAGCCAGCCUGUGGCCCCCAGCCUCCUGGGAAACGGGUUGGUGCUGGAGGAGCCGGGUCUUGGCAUCCUGGAGGUGGCCCCACUGGUCCUGGUGCUCCAGGCGGGGCCGUGGACCCCUCACCUACAUUCCAUAGUGGGCCCGUGGGGCUCCUGGUGCAUCUUAAUAAAGUGUGAGCAGCAA